AUUGAACGCUGGCGGCAUGCCUUACACAUGCAAGUCGAACGGUAACAGGUCUUCGGAUGCUGACGAGUGGCGAACGGGUGAGUAAUACAUCGGAACGUGCCUAGUAGUGGGGGAUAACUACUCGAAAGAGUGGCUAAUACCGCAUGAGAUCUACGGAUGAAAGCAGGGGAUCGCAAGACCUUGUGCUACUAGAGCGGCCGAUGGCAGAUUAGGUAGUUGGUGGGAUAAAGGCUUACCAAGCCGACGAUCUGUAGCUGGUCUGAGAGGACGAUCAGCCACACUGGGACUGAGACACGGCCCAGACUCCUGCGGGAGGCAGCAGUGGGGAAUUUUGGACAAUGGGCGCAAGCCCGAUCCAGCAAUGCCGCGUGCAGGAUGAAGGCCUUCGGGUUGUAAACUGCUUUUGUACGGAACGAAAAGCCCUGGGUUAAUACCCUGGGGUCAUGAUGGUACCGUAAGAAUAAGCACCGGCUAACUACGUGCCAGCCGCCGCUGUAAAAC
rnacentral:rRNA from 1 species